rnacentral:misc_RNA from 1 species
UUUUGAUUCCAAAGCUGUCCACUAAAUGCACCACUUUGAGCCAAAAGAUUUCCUUUUUGAUGAAAACUUAACAAAUAGUACAUAAAAUCCACGCCCUACAGAGAUUCUCAAGUACACUCACUCCACAGUCUGGAUCUAACGAGGAAGCCCAAUAACCCAUCAAACACACUUACCUUCUUUUUCAAACCAAAUUAGUUCAAGUUUAAACUGUCAAUCUUAUCUCAUUACAUUCAUUCAUAAUCGGAUAACAAACACAAGAAAUCAGUCUUUCCUCAGAUCCAUUUCUUCUCUACGGAUGCCAUCAGCAUUUAAUACAACUAUCUCCAGUUUGUCACCAGUGUAUAUAUCCCUUUCUGUUGCUGAAGCAAAGCAAGUCUUGACUAAAUCAAUGGCUUCUGAUUCAGAAAGUGGAGUAACAGCAUCCACAGCAGGCAGCAAAAGAGGGCUAGGAGACUUCAGUUGGUUGUCCAAGAAAGGCAUGAUCAGAGUUGAACCAGAACCUUGAGAGCUGUAGCCAACCCUCUCAUAUGAUCCCACAGCAUCAUAGGUGAAGACACACCCCUUCCCUUCAUUGUCAAGGCCACCUAGAACAUUAAACGAAUAGUAGGGGAAGAAACGUUUGUAGUAUAGUGUGUUCGAAAGGAGCUGGCCCAUAGCUGGACAGCUCAUCUGCUUAUUGUGCUGGUGCUGGUAGAUCAGAUGCCUUGAUGCCAAAACCUUUUGCAAAGCUCUCACGUCAGCCUGAAAUCCUGACGAUGCCAUCACACAUUUAUCCGCUAGUUUAAUGAUCUUGGAGUAAUCGCGAGUAAGAAUGUUGUAGCCAGUGGACAUGCGAGUAUCUGCUGCAAUUACACAGUAAUCUGCUCCAGCUACUGCCACACAGGUUCCGCCAUUGUUGUCAUAAGGAGACCAGUUAGCUUGCUGCUUCGUCAUGGUGAUUCGAUGCGUAGAGAGAAAGAGAGAUGGAUCUAGGGUUGCAGAAGAAGA